rnacentral:rRNA from 1 species
AUACGUAGGGGGCGAGCGUUGUCCGGAAUGAUUGGGCGUAAAGGGCGCGUAGGCGGCUUUGCAAGUCAGUAGUGGAAGUCCAUUUUUCAAGGAUGGAAGUGCUACAGAAACUGCGGAGCUUGAGUGCAGGAGAGGUUAUCGGAAUUCCCGGUGUAGCGGUGAAUGCGUAGAGAUCGGGAGGAACACCAGUGGCGAAGGCGGGUAACUGGACUGCAACUGACGCUGAGGCGCGAAAGUGUGGGGAGCAAACAGGAUUAGAUACCCUGGUAGGCCACACUGGAAACGAUGAAUGCUAGGUGUAGGAGGUACCGACCCCUUCUGUGCCGCAGUAAACACAGUAAGCAUUCCGCCUGGGGAGGUCGGUCGCAAGAUUAAAACUCAAAUGAAUUGGCGGGG